ACCAGGACCACUUUUGCAGGUCUUUUAUUUUAUUUUUUUAUUUUUUUUUUAAGAAUUUUAGAAUUUUAGAAUUUUAGAAUUUUACCUAAAACAGGAAGGUGUCUAGUCAACCUUGUGACAAACUGUCUCCAAUAACUGGGAACUGAAUCCACUUUCCUGCGAGAGCCAACUUUUCCAGAAAGGCACCUGAACUGUUUCCAGUGCUCAGCCAUGCUCCUGGUCCUCAUCUCACUCCUGGGGAUACACUUUUUCCUGGGUGUCCAAACACAGACAGUUUCUCAGUCCGAUGCCCAUGUCACUGUCUUUGAAGGAGACUCCGUGGAGCUGAGAUGCAAGUACUCUUAUGGUGCAACCCCUUACCUCUUCUGGUACAUCCAGCACCAUGGCCGUGGCCUCCAGUUUCUCCUCAAGUACUAUACAGGAGACCCCGUGGUUCAAGGAGUGAACGGCUUUGAGGCUGAGUUCAGCAAGAGCAACUCUUCCUUCCACCUGAGGAAAGCCUCUGUGCACUGGAGCGACUCGGCUGUGUACUUCUGUGCUCUGAGUGCACAGUGUCGGGGGCUGCAGGGGGAGCUGAUCACAAACCCGUAAGAUGCUGAGGAAGAUUCUGCGGCUGAGCAACUCUCGAUCAUUCACGCUCAUCAUCCAUGGAAGGACUAAGUAAACUCACUGGUCCUCCAAGUCGGACUUCUCUGGAAUUAUUUUGGUCUAUCCUCGGAACCCUAUGUGGGGUAUAUACACAUUUGGUCAUGGCUCCCAGGAAAAGUGAUAUAGCAAGACAAAAAGCAUUAAAUAGCCCUUGAGACAUGAUUGCCUUCUUAAUGUUUGUUUUGUAGGUUGCAUUUUCUAAUGACUGAUUACGUCCAUUAGACUUAAGAUACAACUCAGUUGUGCAUAACCAGUAGCUGCAGCGGGUGCUUACACGGUGUGCAGCAGAGGGAGAAGUAUUGGCUUCUGUCAGCUCCACACCGAGUUCAGUGAUAAGGAAGUUCACUGCUUGCACUCCACACCUCAAGAGCCUCAGAAGCACUCCCCAACUGUGAUCUUUAGUUUAGUUCCCUUGACUCAGUGUAGAAUCAUCCUAAAGAGAAUCGCAAUAAGGAGUUUUCUGGAUUAGGUUGUCUUGUGAGCAUGUCUGUGGCAGAUUACAAUAAUCACUGUGGGAAGACACAGUCUGCACAUGGGAAGCACCAUUCCCAGAGUUUGGGUCCUGCACGCCGCAUGAAAUGCAGAAGAGUUAGUGGAGCACAGCAUGCAAACAUUCUAUGCUCUUUGUUCCUGAUUACGGGUGUGAUGUGACAAGUUGGCUCAAGCUUCCGAUGCUGUGACAGGCACCCAGUCCUUGGUAUGGUGGACCGUGACCUUAAUGAUUAAGUCAAAUAAGUCCUCUUCCUUCUAAAUUAUUUUCAUCAAGCAGUUUUGUCACAGCCACAGGUAGGGAAGUAGGAAGCCAUCCUUACUCCAGCAGACAUAGGAGCACAGAGUUAAGAGACAGAAGGUAGGAAGGAGACCAGAGUCUGACCUCAGCAGAUGAAAUGAUUUCAAACAGCAAAGAGCAGACACUCUUUUGCAGGAAAUGGGCAUCUUCAAGGAAGAAGGGGGAUAUUUGGAGUUUAUAAAGAAUGUUGGGAUAAGGAAUCUUAUACCAUUGCAAGGGGCUAUGUACAAGUCUUCCGUUUCUCAUUUCUAGUAUUUUCUGCUCAUUUGAGACAGAUAAUGAUCGGAAACAGACAUUUUACAAAAAUAUUUCCUUUCCCAGGCUCACUGAUAACUGCUGGAGCAAGGACAGCUGAGGUCUCACAAAGAUUCUGUUUGUACAACUGAGGCACAGUAUAAUGUGUGAGGAGAGCAGUAUUUGUUUCUCUGUAGGAAGUCAAUGAUAGAGUGACACGUAGGCUCUUUCAUUUCAACUGAGACCCCUGGUAGCUAUUGGAUGAUAUUUCUGUAAUUAUGAACAGGAGUUGUGAUAGGCUUAUUUGCACCUUGUGCAUUCUCUUACCUGGGAACGCCAUCUCAUGCCAUUUGUAAGUUUCUUAUGCAGUUAGUUUGGGACAUGUGGUAGUCCACUGGAAAAUGACUCAAGCAUGGAAUGUAUUUAUGAUCACAAAUAAGGAAGUGGCCGUCCACAAAGCUUUAGAGAGUUGUAUUUGUCAUUUGAACAAAUUAUAACAGUUUAUCUAUAUAUUUCUAAGUCAAUAAAAUUUCACUCAAUGUAAAGUUUUAACUAACUUUAAAACCAAUAAAAUUGUCCUUGUUCUCAUUUUUCUGAACAAUGUUAUUCCCUUUCAUUCUCUAACUACAAAACAUAAACUUUAUUAGUCAAGUUUUGUGUGUUUUUUAAAAUGUAUGCCAAUAAUAAAACAUUGUAAACGU